rnacentral:rRNA from 1 species
UACGUAGGGGGCUAGCGUUGUCCGGAUUUAUUGGGCGUAAAGAGCGUGUAGGCGGCCAGGUAGGUCUGCUGUGAAAACUCGAGGCUUAACCUCGAGAUGUCGGCGGAAACCAUCUGGCUAGAGUCCGGAAGAGGAGAGUGGAAUUCCUGGUGUAGCGGUGAAAUGCGCAGAUAUCAGGAAGAACACCCGUGGCGAAGGCGGCUCUCUGGGACGGUACUGACGCUGAGAAGCGAAAGCAUGGGGAGCGAACAGG